GCAAGUUUUACUCUUAGAAAUUAUAUUGGAUUUCUUUUUUAAUCAGAAGAGUUUACAGUUUUCCCUAAAUAGUUAUAACUAGUGAAAUAAUUAACAAAAAGAUAAAAUUCUUUUGGAGCUAGAUCACAAUUUUUAUAUCUUUAGUUGUUGUGUCAAAUUCUUCCUAGGUUGAUAGUUACAUCAAAUAUUUUUUUCCAAAAAAACCUCUUGUUUUAACCAAUAUCUAUUUUGAGACCCAAACAAAGAAAUUUUUCACUAAUUGCCAUGGUGC
rnacentral:lncRNA from 1 species